GUUACAAAACAGUUUUGGCGAUUUUUUGGGCGAUCUCAAAAGUGACCCAGAUCCUAUAUUUUCUCACCACGAUCUUAGUGGUUGAAGGGUUUAGAUUUUGUGAAUGUGGGUUUUACACACGUUGUACUCUCACUUUGCUUUGUAUUUCCAUGGAGGAACCACUUUCCCAACGUGAUGAGUGUGUGCUAUUGAAAACUGUAAAGGCUAUUUAUAGAUGGCCUUGGGAAAUUUCUUUAUCCGUACUCAAAC
rnacentral:lncRNA from 1 species